AAAGGAAAAACAGACAGUUGCUAGCAAUUUGAAUUUUUAAAGUAAGUAUUCCUUUACAUUCAUUCUUAUGAUGGUUGUUUAAAAAGAUAUCUCACAUAUAAAUCUAUUGUAAUUUAGACAGGUUUUUUUUUUUUUUUCUGAAAUAGGUUUAACUAACACUUGUGUGUAGAGUUGAAUACAGUGUUGGUUUCUCCAUUCCAGGUAUCUCAUGGCUCUGUAAUUAAAUUAGUUUCAUAAUGCAAUAUUAUUUUCUUAGAAUUAGUCAUUAUGGAAAACAAAGACAUUUUCCACAUUCUGAACCUCUUUGAACAUCCAUAGAACAGUGUUUUUCAGACUGCAGAGCUGAAUCGUUUACAGUGGUUGGACAAUAGUUAUUUUUAAAUGAUAGAAUAGGAAUAUUAUUUUUUUUUUGCGGUACGCGGGCCUCUCACUGUUGUGGCCUCUCCCGUUGCGGAGCACAGGCUCCGGACGCGCAGGCUCAGCGGCAUGGCUCACGGGCCUAGCCGCUCCGCGGCAUGUGGGGUCCUCCCGGACCAGGGCACGAACCUGCGUCCCCUGCAUCAGUAGGCAGACUCUCAACCACAGCGCCACCAGGGAAGCCCAGGAAUAUUAUUAAUGUUUGUGUUUUCUUACUAUAAUUGCUAGGUUUGGGGAUAUCUUGUAAAAGAAAUCUCAGUCUACUGGGAUGUGAUUUAAAAAAUGUACAGGUUAUAAGAAUAGGUUUAUAUAUCACAGAUAUGCUCUGAAUCCAGGCUGUGUCAUUUAAUAGUUCUAUGGUCUAUGAGUCUCAUUCUUGUCAUCAUUUAAAUAGGGCGAAUAAUACCUAUUAUAAACAUGGCUUUAAGAUUUAUAAGAAAUCAUGAAUGUAUGUAAAGCUCAAAAGUAGGAAACACUAUUUUUCACAAAUAUCUGCUAAUUAUCUCUGAAGAAGGAUUAUGUCUCCCUAACCUGAAGACAUCAGACUUAGCCACGUGUCUUGACUUGCUUUGGCCAAUGUAAGUGAGUGGAAUGUGUUUCAUUUGUAGGAAGAAGCCUUAAGGACCAGCAUAUGGUUUCUCCAUGUACCAGAAGAAAGGACAAUGCUCUGCUUAGAAUCUGCUUCAUCGUCUUAGGUCCUGGGUGAAGACAAUGUGUAGCAGAACCACAGCUGACUUAGAAUGAGAAUGUACACUUGGUGUGAGCAAAAAUUAAAGCGCUGAUGAUUUUACAAAACAAAAAAAGUGGAAUAGAAUAGUAAAUAAUAGAAAACCUUCAACUGCGUGAUGCUAAGGGAAACAGACCCCCUCCAGAUGAAAACUACUGACCACAAGAACACAGACCCUAGACUGGUUGAAACCAGAAGGUUGAUGAUGCUUGAAACUUCACCUUGAGGCCAACUAAUCUGAGAAUUGUCGACGAGCUGCACAGCCCUGCUCCUUGAACACUGUAAAGCUCCUCACUACCCCCUCCAGGGUGGGUCACACAGUCUUGAGGGCAUUAGCCCACUGUGGCCUCCUCUGCCUAGCAAAGCAGUAAAGGCUGCUCUUUUCUACUUCACCCAAACUCUGUCUCUGUGUUUCUAUUAGGCACCAGUGAACACAGUCUGAGUUUCUGCAACAGAAUUUUGGGGGCUUGGCCAGGAUCAACUCAUGGGCAGGCAUCCCCGCCUCGCCCCUCAGCUUGAUCAGACACUCCGAGGUUCCUCUCUACGCCAGCCUCCUUUGGGAGAGUGGAGGGUUGGAGGAUUCCUCUUGGAGGCCAGAUUGCCAGGGAUCCCCUGCCGUAGGGCUGUGCCCGGAUCAUACCCAGACUGCCUUCUCGGUAGUUAGAGCUCUGGGGUGGGGAUGAAGGAGAGGAUAGAGGCUGCCCUAACAGCUGCCAGGGCCCCCUUUUCCUUGAGGGUACCCUCCUCUCCUUCUGCCUGCAAUGGUCUGGACUUCCUGCUCUGAGCAAAUAUCUUGGGGAAGGAGAAAGUUAGCAUUUGGGACAUCAGGACACCACCGCCAGCACUUCAGUAAGUCUCCCGGUGUGCAUUCUGACUGAGGCCCCUCAACCUUGUCUAUUCAGGGAAACUUCUGUUUCCCUGCUGGGGAAUUUUUAGAUCCCAUUUGUAAGGUACCACUUGGACUAAGGCCAUGAGCUUAGCGGGACUUGGAAGUCAAUUGAGCAUUGGGCUGUUUGGGUUUUUUGUUUGUUUGUUUUGGUUUGGGUUUUUUGGGUUUUGGUUUUUGUUUGUGGCUUCCAUUUGGCUGGCGAGGAUUUGGUUUGCCUUUGGUUUUGCCUGAGAGUGUUUAAUCUGACUCAACAUGGGAAGUCCUUCUUCUCUGACUCCAUUUGAAAGCCCUCUAGGGAAAAUUUUGGCAGACUGGUCAACCUAUAAUUAUAAACCUAUAAAUAAGAAAAAAUAAUUUAACACCGUGUGGUCACAGUAUUCUUUAGACUCUGGAGAAAAUUUGUUGAGAUGAAACUCUUUUGAAAUUCCAAAACUGGUCCUUUUUUCAUGUGCAGUCAGAGAAUAAAAUACUUUUUUUUUUUUCAUAACAGUGACCCUGAGAGAACAAGAUAUUCUUAGGAGAAAACUUGAAAUUAACGCUUAUCAUGUCCUUGAAGUACAAACACAGCCCAUUUUGUCUGGGACCUCAGCCUUGGGUUAAUUAGUAGAACUUCAAGCCAAGAGGAAAAAAAAGAAGGGAAGAAAAAGAAGCCUUUUAAAAUCAAAUGUGUAAAUUUGACUAUUCUGACUGUUUAAUUAAAAGUUUAGUUGCAAUGCCUGAUUCAUGAAAUAUAAAAAGAUGAAACAAUGAUA